AGGAGUUUGAUCCUGGCUCAGAACGAACGCUGGCGGCAGGCCUAACACAUGCAAGUCGAGCGAACUGACGGACUUCGGUCCUGAGGUUAGCGGCGGACGGGUGAGUAACGCGUGGGAACGUGCCCUUAGGUACGGAACAACAGUUGGAAACGACUGCUAAUACCGUAUGAUCCUCCUCUUUAGGGAUAUUGGGGAGGCAAAGAUUUAUCGCCUAGGGAUCGGCCCGCGUUGGAUUAGGUAGUUGGUGGGGUAACGGCCUACCAAGCCUACGAUCCAUAGCUGGUUUGAGAGGAUGAUCAGCCACACUGGGACUGAGACACGGCCCAGACUCCUACGGGAGGCAGCAGUGGGGAAUCUUGGACAAUGGGGGCAACCCUGAUCCAGCCAUGCCGCGUGAGCGAUGAAGGCCUUAGGGUUGUAAAGCUCUUUCAGCUGGGAAGAUAAUGACGGUACCAGCAGAAGAAGCCCCGGCUAACUCCGUGCCAGCAGCCGCGGUAAUACGGAGGGGGCUAGCGUUGUUCGGAAUUACUGGGCGUAAAGCGCGCGUAGGCGGAUUGUUAAGUCGGGGGUGAAAUCCCGGGGCUCAACCCCGGAACUGCCUCCGAUACUGACAGUCUUGAGGUCGAGAGAGGUGAGUGGAAUUCCGAGUGUAGAGGUGAAAUUCGUAGAUAUUCGGAGGAACACCAGUGGCGAAGGCGG
rnacentral:rRNA from 1 species